UGCAAUGAUGCAGUGGAUAAAGGGGAGUAAGUAGUGUACAAUGUUGUAGUGGAUAAAGGAGUAGUAAGUAAGUAGCAUUGUUGUAGUGGAUAAUUGGAGUAAGUAAGGUACAAUGUUGUAGUGGAUAAAGGGAGUAAGUAAGGUGCAAUGUUGUAGUGAAUAAAGGGAGUAAGUAAGGAGCAAUGGUGUAGUGGAUAAAGGAGUAAGUAAGGAGCAAUGAUGCAGUGGAUAAGGGAGUAGGUAAGGUACAAUGUUGUAGUUGAUAAGGGAGUAGGUAAGGUACAACGUUGUAGUUGAUAAGGGAGGAAGUAAGGUACAAUGUUGUAGUGGAUAAGGGAGGAAGUAAGGUUUAAUGAUGUAGCUGAUAAGGGAGUAAGUAAGGUACACUGUUACAGUUGAUAAGGGAGUAGGUAAGGUACAACGUUGUAGUUGAUAAGGGAGGAAGUAAGGUACAAUGUUGUAGUGGAAAAAGAAGUAAGUAAGGUCCAAUGAUGUAGUAAAUAAGGGAGUAGGUAAGGUGCAAUGAAGUAGUGGAAAAAGGAGUAGGUAAGGUACA